CUGAAAAUGUCCGUCAUUUGAGUGAAAACAUGGAGAGAGAAAGGUCCUUACAUAGAUCCCGACAAAGAGGGAGAGGGUGGCCGGGGACAAGCAGCCUCAUCCCCUCUCACCCCCUGGCAGGGUGGCAUGACCCACUUGGAGACCUUUCAGUAGGGAUGCCGGAGGCUUUCUGCAAAAUUUGAUUUGGUGAACUCCAGAAAAAUGAUAGACUAGAAAAUCGCCCAUGAAAGAACUCCUCGGAAGCACAGAGCUAAUUCCAGGCACUUCUCAAACUUGAACGAGUUCAACCAAUAGAUAAAACCAUCAGGGCAACUAAAAAGACCGAGAAUGGGCCUUGAGCCUGUCUCUGCAGAGAUGGGGGUGAGGGGACGUGCAAACCAGGGCCAUCAUCACAGGGGGCACUGGGCCGUGACUAUGACAGUGUCCAUCACAAUGCCUUUUGCUUGAGGAAUGCCACACCUGACACUCUGACACUUUAUCUUACAGAGUCUAUAAAGAAAUAUGCACAAGCAGCAUCAUUCAGCAGGAUUUCAGACCAGAAAGAACCCUCCCGUCAGAGACUGGUGGCCAUACAAGGGUGCGCUGUGAAGCUUUCGAGACAGCAGACAGCCGGAGUCGUGAUCAGGGUGGCCAGGAAGGGAAACAACACGGUAGCAACCAGAGUGCCCUCCCAUGUGUGAGUUGCUGGGUUAGAAUCCAGAUUCUGCCAUGUAUGACCUGUGAGGACUUGGGCAUAGUAACCUCUCUGGGCCUCGAUGUCCUCAUCUGUAAAAUGGGAACGUGCCACAGUGCUCUCAGAAGGCCAACAUGAAUCCAUAUGGGUGAAGAGCUGGGACAGUGUCCGGCGAGCAGGACACACCAGAUCAGUGCUUGCUGCUGUUGUUGGUAUUCACACAUGUGAUUUUUUUUUUUUUAGACAGAGUAUAGCUCUGUUGCCCAGGCUGGAGUGCAGUGGCAUGAUCUCUGCUCACUGCAACCUCCGCCUCCCAGAUUAGAGCAGUUCUUCUGCCUCAGUCUCCCGAGUAGCUGGGAUUACAGGCAUGCACCACCACGCCUAGAUAAUUUUUGUAUUUUUAGUAGAGGAUGGGUUUCUCCAUGUUGGUCAGGCUGGUCUCGAACUCCUUACCCCAGGUGAUCCACCCGCCUCAGCCUCCCAAAGUUCUGGGAUUACAGGUGUAAGCCACUGUGCCCAGCCCACACAUGUGAUUUAUACACAGGGCCCUUCUGCAAGAUAGGCAAGCAGUGGUAGGAAUGACCACCUCUGGGAAGUAAGGAUACAAAGAGGUGAGAGGGAGAACUUUUCUCUUUGAGCCUUUGGUACUAAUUUUGCUAUUGACUUGAUUUUUACUGCAAAUAGGGAUUCCUUUGGUGACGAAUAAGCCAGUUGGUGUGCAGGGUGUUCACUGCAAGGCCCAGACAGGACUACAAGAGACCAGGACUGUCCUCAGUAUGUGAUCUCUCUCUCCUCUGGCGUCAGCUCUACCCAGGAACGGAUGUGAAGGCUGAAGCCCAGGCAAGGGCUCAUAGUGUGGGGACCGUGCAGCUGGAUUCAUGUCCAGUGGAAUUUGACACCAUGGCCGUCAUCAUCAUGUUUUGCCGUCAUCAGCACAGACCUCUGAGCAGAAAUGCCAGAACAAUGUGGGGCCACCCUGGAGAUUUAUUUUAUUUAUUUUUUAAAUUAAAUUAAAAUUGUUUUUAAGAGACGGGGUCUUGCUAUGUUGCACAGGUUGAUCUUGAACUUCUGGGCUCAAGCAAUCCUCCUGUCUUGGCCUCAGAGUGUUGGGAUUACAGACCUAAGCCACCGCGCCCGGCCUGGAGAUGUAUUUUAAACUGACAUCUUGGGAGAAAUAAAAGCCUUCCUUUUCCCUGUGUGUCGGUAGCGUAAGUAGUGAACUGGGAAGGAUUUCUCGGGGCCCCUGCCCUGAGCUCCUAGACCUUCUCUCCCACGCCAUGUUACACAACAAAAUCUGACUCUGAAAGAUCAAUUGGGUCCAGCUUGGGGUCUGAUGGGCAGACGGGCUUAAGCAAAGCCCCCACUUGACUUCAAGAGAGGAGCUUGGGGCCCACAUAGACAUCGAGGCCUGCACAACGUAGCUAAUUGGCCCUAACAUUUUUCUUUCUUGAAUUUUAAAUCCUUUUAGCAACAGAUUAUACAACAAAGGCUGAACUCAUUGGGGCCGUCAUUAGGCUGGCGGAAAACGCUGGCUUGGCUGUUCCUUGGCGAAUCUCCUUACCGGGUUAUUUAGAGGUGCCGUGUGUCUCUCUUGGGGACAUGCACACAAAUGUAAAGAAUGUCUCUGAGCCACAAUGACAUUUUCAUUAGCCGUGGCUCACAGAGGAGCCUUUCCUGGCAGUUCCAAUCCGGAAGGUUCUUAUCCUGCUCUCUGGCUUUCUUGCUCUGGGUGAAAGGCAGGCACCGUAAUCCAAGCCAAACACCCCGACCUUUGACCCCCACAUGGUGCUUGCUGUCAGGGUGGGGGUUCUUCUGGGGUGCAUGUCUGAGGCCUGACUGGGCUGCACACUGUCCCAGAGUGCCCUGCCUUUGGCCAGGACAAUUCACCUCAGCCCCUUUUGUCCCAACAGCUUUUGAUCUUGCCUGCCUGUCACCCAGGGAAAGAGCCUGCCUAGGCCCUGUCCCACACCUGCCUGCAAACUGACAGCCAUGGCUCCCCCAGCCCCACUGCAGCAGCCUUAACCCUUUCUCUGCCUGACCUGCAGGGCCUGCACCUACCUGUCUCCAGGGUGCUGGGGCCUCAGGCUUUGGCCAAACCAGAACAGGACUAGAAAAGAAUUCUUCUGAGGGUCCAAGGCCUCGUCCUACCGCCCCUACUGUGAGUGUGGGACUGACAAAGGAGUUUGGAGAGCAUGAGUCCCCUAGAAUGGAGCUCCCAGGAAAAGCCAAAGAGAAAGCCCCAGGCCACUGGGCCUGGACUUCGCCCCACGGCAAGGUCCCCGCCCACUGGCUAGGCAGGUGCUUUUGUGAAACUGACAUUUUCUCAGCUGCACCUCUACCGCUGCUGAUGAGCUUUUCAAUACACUCUUUCUUGUAUUGAGACAGAGCCAUGUUUUCAUAACUUGGCACUACAGCAAAGAAAGACAUGGGGUCCUUGCUGCUCAGUCCUGGUGCCCGGCCCAGUGUCUGGGGUGCCCACCUUGCCCAGCGUGUGCUGGGCAUGCAGGGGCACUUCCCUAGGGCCAAAACCUGGGAGCUUUCCUCCAGGCCAAGACGCAAGUCUCUUUGUUUUUACGGUAGCUUUGUUGAAAUGUAAUUUACAUACCAUGAAAUUCACCCGUUGAAGGCAUGCAAUUUAGAAGGUUUUAUUCAUAGAGUUGUAUGAAUUCUCUAUUUCCCAAGGCCAUUUUUUUAAAUAUAAGGGUAAUCUAUGUUCACUGUGGAAAAUACAAACAAUUCAGAAAAUAUACCAUGAAAAGUGCACAUCCUGUUAAUCCAUUUAUUCAGAAACUGUUUCUUUUUUUCUUCUUUCUUUCUUUUUUUUUUUUUUUUUUGAGACAGAGUCUCAAUCUUGUCGCCCAGGCUAAAGUGCAAUGGUGUGAUCUCACUGCAGCCUCCACCUCC
rnacentral:lncRNA from 1 species